CCUACGGGGGGCAGCAGUGGGGAAUAUUGCACAAUGGGGGGAACCCUGAUGCCGCGACGCCGCGUGAGUGCAGAAGUAUUUCGGUAUGUAACGCUCUAUCAGCAGGGAAGCAAAUGACGGUACCUGACUAAGUAGCCCCGUCUAACUACGUGCCAGCAGCCGCGGUAAUACGUAGGGGGCAGGCGUUGUCCGGAUUUACUGGGUGUAAAGGGCGUGCAGCCGGGAAGACAAGUCAGCUGUGAAAUCCCGCGGCUUAACCGCGGAACUGCAUUUGAAACUGGUUUUCUUGAGUACCAGAGAGGUCAUCGGAAUGCGUGGUGUAGAGGUGAAAUGCGUAGAUAUAAGGAAGAACACCAGUGGCGAAGGCGGAUGACUGGACGGCAACUGACGGUGAGGCGCGAAAGCGUGGGGAGCAAACAGGAUUAGAUACCCCAGUAGUC
rnacentral:rRNA from 1 species